GAUCCUGCUCAGGAUGAACGCUAGCGACAGGCUUAACACAUGCAAGUCGAGGGGCAGCACAGGUAGCAAUACCGGGUGGCGACCGGCGCACGGGUGAGUAACGCGUAUGCAACUUACCUAUCAGAGGGGGAUAACCCGGCGAAAGUCGGACUAAUACCGCAUGAAGCAGGGGCCCCGCAUGGGGAUAUUUGCUAAAGAUUUAUCGCUGAUAGAUAGGCAUGCGUUCCAUUAGG
rnacentral:rRNA from 1 species